CAUAGCGACUAUCGUGGCAUAUCAAUAAGCGGAGGAAAAGAAACUAACAAGGAUUCCCCUAGUAACGGCGAGUGAAGCGGGAAGAGCUCAAAUUUGAAAUCUUAAAGGUUUGCCCUUGACGAAUUGUAGUUUAAAGAAGUGUUUUCGGUUAGAGGAGUUCGGUAAAAGUUCUUUGGAAUAGGACAUCAUAGAGGGUGAGAAUCCCGUAUUUGACCGUUACUUUCCAGCUGUGUGAUACACUUUCAAAGAGUCGGAUUGUUUGGGAAUGCAGUCCAAAAUGGGUGGUAAAUUUCAUCUAAAGCUAAAUAUUGGCGAGAGACCGAUAGCGAACAAGUACCGUGAGGGAAAGAUGAAAAGAACUUUGAAAAGAGAGUUAAACAGUACGUGAAAUUGUCAAAAGGGAAGCGUCUGACACCAGUGUUGUUUAGUUCGAAAAUCAAUUCAAUAAUUUUGAUUAUGUAGGUAGUAUUGACUUCAUCAGCUUGCAUGCUUUCGUUUUCGGAUAUUAUUGAUGCACUUUUCAGGUUAACAAGUCAACAGUCAAUUUCCUUUGUUGUAAAAGGGUAAGAGGAAGGUGGCUUACACUUCGGCUGUAAGUGUUUAUAGCCUUUUAUCCUCUGCAGUCGGAGAGAUUGAGGUCAGCAGCGUAGACUCCUUCGGGGUUAGAUACACUUUAUGUUAAGCUAUAGCCUUGUAUAGACAACUUGUUGACUAUGCUCAGUCAUGUAGCUUACUCGCUAUGUGCUAUUUUACCUACGCUUAGGAUGUUGAUAGUCACAGCGUGUAC
rnacentral:rRNA from 1 species